rnacentral:lncRNA from 1 species
CAAAGACUUUCUGAACUCAGUCUCGCAAAUCACAUAGGACUUCUCUUUUUCUACCAAGGUCGAUAGAUUCUUUCUAGGUGCAUCCUACUCCAAACAGUGAAUCCGAAUCUACUGAAGCCAAUAUACAUAGCAAGGAUCCAAAUGGCUAGAGAUCAAAAGAACAUACUAUCAAACUCAGUAGCCUCACUGUGAUUAGUCAAUGACACUAUAGGUCAAAGGAUCACUCACAUCAC